CAUUCAGUGUUUUGUGUUGAGUCUGAGGAGUUCGAUGAAAAAUAUUUAAAUUCACUUUUUAGUCUGCCAUCCAAAAUUCCAUGCAACUUGUGAGAAUCCUGACCGAGCAGCGGCACUUCAAGCAAUGAUUAGUGAGCGUGUUUCGCAUUUGCGUGAAACAUAUUUGCUCGGUCAUGGAAGAGAAGUUUGCUUUCACACUUCAUGCCAUCACUACCACACAUUUGGACUCAUUGAACUACUUUGCCACUCAUCAUCGAACAUUGAAUCGCCAAAAAUAACGUUGGAAGACCUCAAACGCAGUCUCGGCCAUUGGACAAAAUUGUGAUUUUUCAUAGUUUAGGUUCAACGAAUAAAAAAAUACAAUAGACAAUAUUUGGUGCUUGGCUUUUGAAUGUCUUGUGGGGUGUAUUGAGAAUGUUUUAUGGCCUGCUGUUGCGUUUUCGUUGAAAAAAUAAUAUUUUUUUGUGACUGUAUACGAAAGAUAUUAAUAAUUUUGAGUUUUUUUUUGUGCACUUACUGAUUUAUUUUCUGCAAAUUAUUCGUAAAAGCGUGCGUUGGCAAAUGGUUUUAAAAUAUUUGAAAUACUGCCGAGCAAGCAUUGAAGCACAAAAUACUCCUUCCCAUCAACAUAAAAAAAAUCUAUGAAAAUAUACACAAUUAAAUAAAUUUGUAA